AACAAUGGCGGAGUGGCAGAGGGUUGAGGCCUACGAAAGGCUGGAGUAGGCCAGGAAGGGUGGUUGGAGGAGGACGCGCCUGAGGUGGCCCGCAGCGGGAGAGCCCAGGGGAGAAACCAGAAGAAUGAGUGGGAAAUGUCUCCCUUAAUCUUUAUGAGGAUGGGACUGUCUAGUUUUAGGAAACAAGCUCAAAGCUUCCACUGAGUCUACAUUAUGGUGAGUUGUAUAAUUAUUUCAUUAUAGAUUACAAUGUAGUAAUAAUAGAAAUAAAGUGCCCAAUAAAUGUAAUGCACUUGAAUCAUCCUGAAAUUAUCACAUCCUCCCUCUCAGUGGAAAAAUUGUCUUCCAUGAAACCGGUUCCUGAUGCCAGUCCAGUCCCGGAGUGCUGCUUUGAAAAGAACUGGCAGGACUUAAUGUUAUUUCCUUAAAACAUUGGGAUUAGAAGUUGUAGAUGACAGGAUUAUUUAUAUAAACACUGAAGAUGUUUUACUCUUUUAUUAGAAGCAGAAUCAAGAAAGUUGGUUUUUACACAAUUUUUUUAACUUAAUGCUGUACAUUUGUAUAACUGAGUUCAUAGACCACUUUCAUCUGUCUCAUUUGAUCAUGGACAGUAUGAUGUGGAAAAAACACAGGAUGGUCAGAGGAUCAAAGCAAGUCACUUAGCCUCUCUGUGCCUCAGUGUCUUAAGACAGUCUUUUAAAAAGGCAUCUCUUUAUAGAUGAGUUAAAAUUAAGUUAAAUGUCAGAUCCUGGCUUAUAGAGCCAGUGAUUUAGUGAGAGUCAGAACUGAAGCUUCACCAUUACUUUAACUAUAUUGAGCCAGAAAUAGUUAAGAACUAAAUGGCCUAUAAAAAUAUAUGAGGGGGUCACGUGGAAAGAAGUAGAGAUUUGGAACUUAGGGAACCAAAAUUAUGAGAGCAUAUAAGCCCUUCCACUAAUGAGAAUUUAGAAGCGCAAAUGGGUCCAGGUUGGUACAAAUGCUUUAACUCUCAUAUGCUCAGGGGAAAUAGUGUUUUUUUUAAUAUUUUAGUCUUUUACAAAUAAUUUUUAGAAAUAAGAAUAAAGGGAGAUAGUGCAAAACAACUUUAUUAGGAAUUUUAAUGUGAAUUUAACAAUAGCAAACCGAAAUUUAUAUUCUGUGUUUUCCUGAUUUUGAUGUACAUAUAGUCAUCCUUCAGUAUGCUAAAUGUGGGGGAUUGGUUCCAGGACCCACCCACCUCCUUGGCAAAUCUUGCAUACUCAAGUCCCGCAGCCAGGCCUGUGGAACUUGAGAAUAGGAAAAAUCAGCCUUCCAUAUACUUGGGAUGGAUCUGCAUUUGGUUGAAAAAAAUCCACUUAUAAGGGACCCUUGAAGUUCAAACCCGUCUCGCAUUUGCAUCAUCAAAAUACAAUACUUGAAGAAUUUUUGAAACCUUCUAUUGCUUACAAUUUUGUGUUGAAGAAGGAUUUGUCAUCCUUGCUCCAUAAUUGCAAAACAUUUUUAUUUUUAGAUUAUAAACUUAAUUAGAAUGAUAAAUUCAGUGAAUAUUUUUAUUUCAUUUUCCUUCCAGUCAGCUUGUAUACACAUCUGCCUUCACCCUUUGUCCAUUUGCAACCAAGUCAAGUAAAUUUUGAUGCAUAAACAUUGUAAAAGAUGAAAUAAAACAGUCACACCUCCUUUUAGAAAAUAGAAUGAUCCUGGUUCUUACUGUAAAAUACUGUCCUUCCUGCUGAUGGCUCUCCCAGUGAGAGUACAUUUCUUGUUUGUCUUUUUUUUCUUUUUCUUGUCGAUUCUUGGGUGGGAGAAAAGCCUUCUAGUAUUUCCUCAUCCAAAAACUCAUAGUCUGAGAUUUUUGCAGUUAAUUUUAUCAUCAUUAGUCUGGAAUAUGACUGCCUGUCAUUUUGCAUUCACCUUCUUCAUCUAAUAAUAGUUAAUGCCUUCUGUCCGUUUUUUCUCCUUGCCAUUAUGAAUGGAAAAUGAAAAAUUGUGAAUUCCCAUCUGUGUUCAAUGAAAGCUAAAAGUAGACAACAGGUAUGAUGUCUUGAAAGAUGAUGAAAUACUUUGGACAAUACAGUGAGAAAACUAUCUUAAAAAUUAUUUUAGUUAUUUUUAGCACAGUUGGGAAUAAUGAAUUAUAAAUAAUGAACUGUUAAAAAACAACAGUUUUCACAUUUGUUUCAAAAUGUAGGGAAAAAUAUGCUCACUAGGAUUCCAUCGUAUUUCUUAGAUUUAUAAGAGUUCAGUGGACUCAUUUGAUAAUUGCAAUAGAAUGAGUUUUAGUCUAUUCUUUUAAAAAAUAAGUUUUCUCUUUGUUCUUUGGAAGACUUUUAAGAAAGAAUAAAAGUAAUGACAUCUCAAUCCUAACAAAUAAUUAGAACUGCUCUAAAAGGAAACUGAAAAGUUAAAAUUUUCUCUCU